GUAUAUGUUGCACUAAAACAUCCACGUACACGUGCAAAUUAAAAUACCAAUUGCAGUUUAUAGAGCACGAUUUGCGGCGGAUUAACAAUUACAAUUUUAGUACCCAGUUUAAUUUCAUUACAAACGUGAACUGAUUUAAUCACGAGAUGUGUGAGCGUCGUACUUAUUCUGCUGUAUUGAACGGGCACUGUUGAGGCUACAGACAUGUUCGUGGUCACGAACGUAGACGAUUUUUAUGCCAUGCUACGCAAAAAGACUGCAUCAAUAAUACGUCGUAUACGGGGGAGCACCAACGGUAUCCUUAAAAUGAUUCCCGACCGCACUGACAAGAAGACCAUCAACUCAUCGUGAUUCAAAACUGUUCAUGACCCCGUUUCAAGUUUUCGCAAGUGACCAUGGGUCAUGGAAUGAGUCGCUUCGUCUGAAGUUCAUUGCCGUCAGGGCGCACUAUGUGACAAUUGCUGUUAAACAUUUACCUACAAGUUAUUAAUAAAUUCGUGUUAAGCUACAAUAAUGUAUAUUUGUUUAAUUUAGUAUCAUUGUUGUAAUAAACGACAACCUACGUAGUUGUGUGGCUUGCACCGAUUUUCAUGGUAUCGCCAAAUAGCAACAGAGAUCUGGGGUCCCAGGAUCGAUUCCUGGCCCGAUCAAUGUAGAAACUAACUUUUCUAUAUUGUCUC